rnacentral:rRNA from 1 species
UACGAAGGGGGCAAGCGUUGUCCGGAAUCACUGGGCGUAAAGGGCGCGUAGGCGGCUCAUGAAGGCUGUGGUGAAAGUCCGGGGCUCAACCUCGGAUCGGCCGUGGCGACUCGUGGGCUGGAGCACUGUAGAGGCGGGUGGAAUUCCGGGUGUAGCGGUGGAAUGCGUAGAGAUCCGGAGGAACACCGAUGGCGAAGGCAGAUCUCUGGGCCAUUACUGACGCUGAGGAGCGAAAGCGUGGGGAGCAAACAGG